AACAGGAUUAGAUACCCUGGUAGUCCACGCCGUAAACGAUGUCGACUUGGAGGUUGUUCCCUUGAGGAGUGGCUUCCGGAGCUAACGCGUUAAGUCGACCGCCUGGGGAGUACGGCCGCAAGGUUAAAACUCAAAUGAAUUGACGGGGGCCCGCACAAGCGGUGGAGCAUGUGGUUUAAUUCGAUGCAACGCGAAGAACCUUACCUACUCUUGACAUCCACGGAAUUCGGCAGAGAUGCCUUAGUGCCUUCGGGAACCGUGAGACAGGUGCUGCAUGGCUGUCGUCAGCUCGAGUUGUGAAAUGUUGGGUUGAGUCCCGCAACGAGCGCAACCCUUAUCCUUUGUUGCCAGCGAUUCGGUCGGGAACUCAAAGGAGACUGCCGGUGAUAAACCGGAGGAAGGUGGGGAUGACGUCAAGUCAUCAUGGCCCUUACGAGUAGGGCUACACACGUGCUACAAUGGCGCAUACAAAGAGAAGCGACCUCGCGAGAGCAAGCGGACCUCAUAAAGUGCGUCGUAGUCCGGAUCGGAGUCUGCAACUCGACUCCGUGAAGUCGGAAUCGCUAGUAAUCGUGGAUCAGAAUGCCACGGUGAAUACGUUCCCGGGCCUUGUACACACCGCCCGUCACACCAUGGGAGUGGGUUGCAAAAGAAGUAGGUAGCUUAACCUUCGGGAGGGCGCUUACCACUUUGUGAUUCAUGACUGGGGUGAAGUCGUAACAAGGUAACC
rnacentral:rRNA from 1 species